AGGAGAGUUUGAUCCUGGCUCAGGACGAACGCUGGCGGCACGCUUAACACAUGCAAGUCGAACGGAGAUAUUUUGAGUUUACUUAGGAUAUCUUAGUGGCGGACGGGUGAGUAACACGUGAGCAACCUGCCUUGGAGAGAGGGAUAGCUUCUGGAAAUGGAUGGUAAUACCUCAUAACAUACGUAGACCGCAUGGUCUGUGUAUCAAAGAUUUAUCACUCUGAGAUGGGCUCGCGUCUGAUUAGAUAGUUGGUGAGGUAACGGCUCACCAAGUCGACGAUCAGUAGCCGGACUGAGAGGUUGAACGGCCACAUUGGGACUGAGACACGGCCCAGACUCCUACGGGAGGCAGCAGUGGGGAAUAUUGCACAAUGGGGGAAACCCUGAUGCAGCGAUGCCGCGUGGAGGAAGAAGGUUUUCGGAUUGUAAACUCCUGUCUUAAAGGACGAUAAUGACGGUACUUUAGGAGGAAGCUCCGGCUAACUACGUGCCAGCAGCCGCGGUAAUACGUAGGGAGCGAGCGUUGUCCGGAAUUACUGGGUGUAAAGGGAGCGUAGGCGGGAUCGCAAGUCAGAUGUGAAAUACAUGGGCUUAACCCAUGGGCUGCAUUUGAAACUGCGGUUCUUGAGUGAAGUAGAGGUAAGCGGAAUUCCUGGUGUAGCGGUGAAAUGCGUAGAUAUCAGGAGGAACACCGGUGGCGAAGGCGGCUUACUGGGCUUUUACUGACGCUGAGGCUCGAAAGCGUGGGGAGCAAACAGGAUUAGAUACCCUGGUAGUCCCCU
rnacentral:rRNA from 1 species